rnacentral:misc_RNA from 1 species
CCAAUAGCGUAUAUUAAAGUUGUUGCAGUUAAAAAGCUCGUAGUUGAAUUUCGGGAUCAAUAUAUCGGUCGUGCCUUGGUACGUACUGGUAUCAUUGGUCUCUCCUUUCUGACGAACCAUGAUGUCAUUAAUUUGGUGUUAUGGGAAGUUAGGACUGUUACUUUGAAAAAAUUAGAGUGUUUAAAGCAGGCUUUGGCUUGAAUACAUUAGCAUGGAAUAAUGAAAUAGGACGUUCGAACCUAUUUUGUUGGUUUCUAGGAUCAACGUAAUGAUUAAUAGGGAUAGUUGGGGGCAUUAGUAUUCAAUUGUCAGAGGUGAAAUUCUUGGAUUUAUUGAAGACUAACUACUGCGAAAGCAUUUGCCAAGGAUGUUUUCAUUAAUCAAGAACGAAAGUUAGGGGAUCGAAGACGAUCAGAUACCGUCGUAGUCUUAACCAUAAACUAUGCCGACUAGGGAUCGGAUGAUGUUAAUUUUUUAAUGACUCAUUCGGGGCCUUACG